UGGGGAACAUUGCACAAUGGGCGCAAGCCUGAUGCAGCCAUGCCGCGUGUGUGAAGAAGGCCUUCGGGUUGUAAAGCACUUUCAGCGGGGAGGAAGGCGAUAAGGUUAAUAACCUUGUCGAUUGACGUUACCCGCAGAAGAAGCACCGGCUAACUCCGUGCCAGCAGCCGCGGUAAUACGGAGGGUGCAAGCGUUAAUCGGAAUUACUGGGCGUAAAGCGCACGCAGGCGGUCUGUCAAGUCGGAUGUGAAAUCCCCGGGCUUAACCUGGGAACUGCAUUCGAAACUGGCAGGCUAGAGUCUUGUAGAGGGGGGUAGAAUUCCAGGUGUAGCGGUGAAAUGCGUAGAGAUCUGGAGGAAUACCGGUGGCGAAGGCGGCCCCCUGGACAAAGACUGACGCUCAGGUGCGAAAGCGUGGGGAGCAAACAGG
rnacentral:rRNA from 1 species